rnacentral:rRNA from 1 species
UACGUAGGUGGCAAGCGUUGUCCGGAAUUAUUGGGCGUAAAGAGCGUGUAGGCGGCCAGGUAGGUCUGCUGUGAAAACUCGAGGCUUAACCUCGAGCUGUCGGCGGAAACCAUCUGGCUAGAGUCCGGAAGAGGAGAAUGGAAUUCCUGGUGUAGCGGUGAAAUGCGCAGAUAUCAGGAAGAACACCCGUGGCGAAGGCGGCUCUCUGGGACGGUACUGACGCUGAGACGCGAAAGCGUGGGGAGCGAACAGG